GGCUAUACAUGCAAGUCGAGCGAACAGAGAAGGAGCUUGCUCCUUUGACGUUAGCGGCGGACGGGUGAGUAACACGUGGGCAACCUACCUUAUAGUUUGGGAUAACUCCGGGAAACCGGGGCUAAUACCGAAUAAUCUGUUUCACCUCAUGGUGAAAUAUUGAAAGACGGUUUCGGCUGUCGCUAUAGGAUGGGCCCGCGGCGCAUUAGCUAGUUGGUGAGGUAACGGCUCACCAAGGCGACGAUGCGUAGCCGACCUGAGAGGGUGAUCGGCCACACUGGGACUGAGACACGGCCCAGACUCCUACGGGAGGCAGCAGUAGGGAAUCUUCCACAAUGGGCGAAAGCCUGAUGGAGCAACGCCGCGUGAGUGAAGAAGGAUUUCGGUUCGUAAAACUCUGUUGUAAGGGAAGAACAAGUACAGUAGUAACUGGCUGUACCUUGACGGUACCUUAUUAGAAAGCCACGGCUAACUACGUGCCAGCAGCCGCGGUAAUACGUAGGUGGCAAGCGUUGUCCGGAAUUAUUGGGCGUAAAGCGCGCGCAGGUGGUUUCUUAAGUCUGAUGUGAAAGCCCACGGCUCAACCGUGGAGGGUCAUUGGAAACUGGGAGACUUGAGUGCAGAAGAGGAUAGUAGAAUUCCAAGUGUAGCGGUGAAAUGCGUAGAGAUUUGGAGGAACA
rnacentral:rRNA from 1 species